rnacentral:rRNA from 1 species
GACGAACGCUGGCGGCGUGCUUAACACAUGCAAGUCGAACGGUGAAGCGCCUUCCUUUUUGGUGGGUGUGGAUGAGUGGCGAACGGGUGAGUAACACGUGAGUAACCUGCCCCCUUCUUCUGGAUAACCGCAUGAAAGUGUGGCUAAUACGGGAUAUUCUGGGUCUGUCGCAUGAUGGGUCUGGGAAAGAUAUUGUUUCGGUGGGGGAUGGGCUCGCGGCCUAUCAGCUUGUUGGUGGGGUGAUGGCCUACCAAGGCGGUGACGGGUAGCCGGCCUGAGAGGGUGGACGGUCACACUGGGACUGAGACACGGCCCAGACUCCUACGGGGGGCAGCAGUGGGGAAUAUUGCACAAUGGGCACAAGGCUGAUGCAGCGACGCCGCGUGAGGGAUGGAGGCCUUCGGGUUGUGAACCUCUUUCGCCAGUGAAGCAGGCCUGCCUCGUUUGUGGGUGGGUUGACGGUAGCUGGAUAAGAAGCGCCGGCUAACUACGUG